CAGCCGCCGCGGUAAUUCGAACCGUGCGAACGUUGUUCGGAAUCACUGGGCUUAAAGGGUGCGUAGGCGGGCGCGUCAGUCAGGGGUGAAAUCCCACGGCCCAACCGUGGAAGGGCCUCUGAUACUGCGUGUCUAGAGGGGGAUAGGGGCGUGCGGAACUUCCGGUGGAGCGGUGAAAUGCGUAGAUAUCGGAAGGAACACCGGUGGCGAAAGCGGCGCGCUGGAUCCCCACUGACGCUGAGGCACGAAAGCCAGGGGAGCAAACGGGAUUAGAUACCCCGGUAGUCCUGGCCCUAAACGAUGGGUACUAGGUAGUGGACUGACAUGGGUUCACUGCCGAAGCAAAAGUGAUAAGUACCCCGCCUGGGGAGUAUGGUCGCAAGGCUGAAACUCAAAGGAAUUGACGG
rnacentral:rRNA from 1 species